rnacentral:rRNA from 1 species
UACGGGGGGAGCAAGCGUUGUUCGGAUUUACUGGGCUUAAAGCGCACGUAGGCGGCGCCGCAAGUGCGGGGUGAAAUCCCACGGCUUACCCGUGGAACUGCCUUGCAGACUGUGGUGCUAGAGGAUGGUAGGGGAGAGCGGAACUCCUGGUGGAGCGGUGAAAUGCGUAGAUAUCAGGAGGAACACCGGUGGCGAAGGCGGCUCUCUGGUCCAUGACUGACGCUGAGGUGCGAAAGCUAGGGGAGCAAACGGG